UACGUAGGGGGCAAGCGUUGUCCGGAAUUAUUGGGCGUAAAGAGCGUGUAGGCGGUCCGGUAAGUCAGCUGUGAAAGUCAAGGGCUCAACCCUUGAAUGCCGGUUGAUACUGUCGGGCUAGAGUCCGGAAGAGGCGAGUGGAAUUCCCGGUGUAGCGGUGAAAUGCGCAGAUAUCGGGAGGAACACCAAUGGCGAAGGCAGCUCGCUGGACCACUACUGACGCUGAGGAACGAAAGCUAGGGGAGCAAACAGG
rnacentral:rRNA from 1 species